rnacentral:rRNA from 1 species
UACGGGGGGGGUAAGCGUUGUUCGGAAUUACUGGGCGUCAAGGGCUCGUAGGCGGCCAACUAAGUCAGACGUGAAAUCCCUCAGCUUAACUGGGGAACUGCGUCUGAUACUGGAUGGCUUGGAUUUGGGAGAGGGGUGCGGAAUUCCAGGUGUAGCGGUGAAAUGCGUAGAUAUCUGGAGGAACACCGGUGGCGAAGGCGGCAUCCUGGACCAACAUUGACGCUGAGGAGCGAAAGCGUGGGGAGCAAACAGG